rnacentral:lncRNA from 1 species
GCGGGACAGGAAGAUGCAGAAUGGCGUGAUGCUUGCCAUGGCCAUGGUGGCAUGCAGGGACCAUGCCCAGACCAUGGGGAGGCUCCGAGGCGAACUCCAGGAGCUAACUGUAGCAGCUAAAGACUUGGUGAAUGCCAUAGCCCCCGUGGAAGAAGGCGCAGGGCCGCAAUCACUGGUCGAGCGAUUGAAGGCUGCCUCGAGUAAAGUGGCGGGACUCUGCAAAGCUGUUUGCAAACAGGUCCUUGCAGUCGUGAAGUCCUACUACCCGAGGGCAGACUUGGCGGCAACUAGUGACGGUGUGGCUCGCAACUG